rnacentral:lncRNA from 1 species
CCAGGCUCUGCCCGCCCUGCAGGAAGCUGAGGGCCUCUUGCUGGAGGUGAUCAACCCAGACCUUGGUCAGUGCCCCUCUCCCUGCUUCCCUCCAUCUCUGUCCUCUGACAAUGCUGCCUCUUCCAGGAAGCCCCCCAAGGUGGCCCCAGCUCCAGAGCUCUGCUCCUACAGUAGAUUGUGGGCCAGGAUCCCUCGCCCAAGACAGUUCUGCAGGCCUGGCUUUGCCUUCUCAGGGGUUUGUGGUCUAGAGGGGUGGGGAGCCACCCCAGCCAUCAACUCCCUGCUUUGUUCUGAACCUCAGGUCAGCCUGGCAUCACCCUCCCCAGCUAUGCUGUGGUUCUCCUCGUUCUGGGCUUCCUGCUCACUGCACUCGCCCUUGUCCUGGUGCUGAAGAGGAAGACCUGCUUCCGGCAGUUCAGCCAUACACAGUGAGGUACAGAGGUCAGCCCUGAAGAGCCGAACGUGGCAAGAUGAUGGCCUGCGGAAGAUGCAGGAAGGGGAACAAAGCUGGCUCCCUCCCGCCUGGCCUGGCUUCGUGGUGGGGCUGGAGGUAUAUGGGUCUCAAGACAAACUCCUGUCCUUUGGGGUAUGGAAAAUUAAAUGACAAG